rnacentral:rRNA from 1 species
GAUGAACGCUAGCGACAGGCCUAACACAUGCAAGUCGAGGGGCAGCACAUGAGUAGCAAUACGAUGGUGGCGACCGGCGCACGGGUGAGUAACACGUGAGUAACCUGCCCCAGACUCUGGGAUAACAGUUGGAAACAGCUGCUAAUACCGGAUACGAGACGGAGAGGCAUCUCUACCGUCUGGAAAGUUUUUCGGUCUGGGAUGGACUCGCGGCCUAUCAGCUUGUUGGUGAGGUAAUGGCUCACCAAGGCGACGACGGGUAGCCGGCCUGAGAGGGCGACCGGCCACACUGGGACUGAGACACGGCCCAGACUCCUACGGGAGGCAGCAGUGGGGAAUAUUGCACAAUGGGCGAAAGCCUGAUGCAGCGACGCCGCGUGAGGGAUGACGGCCUCGGGUGUAAGGUUACGUUUUAUUAUUGUGAGCAGUGGUCUUCUUAUUAUUAACUAGUAGUUAGGGGAGGUAGGAAGGAGUUAAUUAGUACAGUAUAGUAAU